rnacentral:rRNA from 1 species
AGGGCACCACCAGGAGUGGAGCCUGCGGCUUAAUUUGACUCAACACGGGAAAUCUCACCAGGCCCGGACACCGGAAGGAUUGACAGAUUGAGAGCUCUUUCUUGAUUCGGUGGGUGGUGGUGCACGGCCGUUCUUAGUUGGUGGAGCGAUUUGUCUGGUUAAUUCCGAUAACGAACGAGACUCUGGCCUACUAACUAGACGUUGGAUCUCUUUGUGGGUCCAUCGCAGCUUCUUAGAGGGACGGGCGGCGUUUAGCCGCACGAGAAUGAGCAAUAACAGGUCUGUGAUGCCCUUAGAUGUUCUGGGCUGCACGCGCUCUACACUGAAGGAAUCAGCGUGUGUACCCUGUCUGAAAAGACUGGGAAACCCGAUGAACCUCCUUCGUGAUGGGGAUUGGGGAUUGCAAUUAUUCCCCAUGAACGAGGAAUUCCCAGUAGGCGCGAGUCAUAAGCUUGCGUCGAUCACGUCCCUGCCCUUUGUACACACCGCCCGUCGCUACUACCGAUCGAGUGAUUUAGU